UACGUAGGGGGCAAGCGUUGUCCGGAAUCAUUGGGCGUAAAGAGCGUGUAGGCGGCCUGGUAAGUCCGCUGUGAAAGUCCAGGGCUCAACCCUGGAAUGCCGGUGGAUACUGUCGGGCUAGAGUCCGGAAUGGGCGAGUGGAAUUCCUGGUGGUAGCGGUGAAAUGCGCAGAUAUCAGGAGGAACACCAAUGGCGAAGGCAGCUCGCUGGGACGUGACUGACGCUGAGACGCGAAAGCGUGGGGAGCAAACAGG
rnacentral:rRNA from 1 species